rnacentral:lncRNA from 1 species
ACCCACGCGCGCGCUCUCGCCAGCCGGUGAAGACGCUUGUCCACCAGCCAGCGGCGGGGUCGCUGGGAAACAGCCGGCGGCGCCAGCGCAUGCGCCCUCCGAGACCGUCACGGCCGGCGUGUUCUACCUGGAACCCGAUUACAGUGUUUGCACACUACUCAGGAUGGUCUGCCUCCUGGCUUCUCAAAGAAGUCUGUGCUUUCCUGAAGGAGAAUAUUUCUUAGAAGAUCCACAGUAUAUUCCAAACUAUUCCUGGCUUCAUAAAUCAUGGCCAUGUAGAAGAACUUGAGUAAACUUGGACCCAUUUUACAAACCCGUUUAAUUCUCCUAAUGAUGAGGAAUAUAUCAAAUGGGAUGUCAGCAGUUCUAACCUGACCUGGAAUAAUCCAGGGAUCCCAGUGAACACUGAUAGCCAGGCUGAUGGACAGACCUUAGCUAGGCUUUGCCCAUGCACUCUGUGCUGCCCCUCCCAAUCUUUGGGAUGGAGCUUCCAGAAAGCCUAGACUUGCUAACUGUCUGACUCUGACUGCCCAGGAUGAUGAGAGCCUCUCUGCCUGUGUUAUGAUGGUCUUCGCUGUGUUUGAAUCAUUUUUGUGAGUGUCAAGUGGCUACAUGUUCAUAACUAGGCUCCACAAGGAUCCACAUCUCAGCUCUGCCACUUCCCAGAUGUGACUGUGGCCACUGACUUAGGCUCACCUAGCCUCCAUUUUCUAGCCUGCAAAGUUAUAAUACUAGCCCCUUUAUCAUGGGGGUUGUGAGGGUAGAGUAGCUGAUGUAGGUAAAACACAAGGACAAGUACCUGGCAUACACAUAACCAACUUUAUUAUUAGUUGUCUCUCUGGGGGUGGUCUGGGUUUUGGGGAUUUUGUGCCACACCUUUUCUCCUGGGGAAGAACAUGCACACAGGCACUAUGGGCAGGCCAAUGACCUGACUUUGGCUGACUCAGGCUCUGCUGGCUUCAAAGACACCAGUCUGUGGCUAUAUGGGCUACUUGGAAGCAGGGGAGAGAAGCAUGCUUGUUUUCUGUUUUAGAAGCCACAGAAGCUAUGGCUUUCCACAGAUUUAAAUUAACAUGCCCCUGGUUCCAAUGGGGGUAAUUAGCCCUACCCAGCCAGUGGACCCGGGGAGUUGCCCUCCUCAGAGUGGAUUCCUAGCUGUUAGCAGACCUCCAGGGUCUCUGCUGCCUGGUUGACAAAGGACAGAGUAUAAUGGACCCAGG